UGAUGAGGUGGCAGGAUGAUGUGGCAAUGGUUGGCUGACAUGUCGAUGAUGUGGCGACAUGAUGUGGCACUCAAUUGAUGAUGUGACAAUGAGGUGGCAGGAUGAUGUGGCUGUGGUUGGCUGACGUGGCAGUGAUGAUGUGGCGCUCAGUUGUUGACGUGGCGAUGACAUGUCAAGCUAAUGUGGCAGGAGUAGGAGCAAAUCAGGUGUAACACGGCUCACUAAAGCUGUGUGAGCUCACCUCUUAUCCGAUGGAUCUAAUGACCCGACCUGGUCGGAUCUUACAACUGAGGAGUCUAAUGCAAGUUUCAUCAACGCCAAGG
rnacentral:misc_RNA from 1 species